UCGCUGAAUUUGAUAGCUUUAUUCGUGAUCAUGAAGAACCAUCGUUUCCAAAAACUGCGGCUGAUGCCUUAGAUCUAGAAGCAUGUUACAACAAAUGCGACCAAAGCUAUGACAAAUUGGCGUCACCAAAAUCAGAAAAUAGAUGGAAAACUUGCAGAACGUUGUGCAAAGCGGCAAACUAUGCUAUAGAACGGUGCAAAGAAUACUCUCGUGGGAAUACAGAUAAAUUUAAGAGAUGCAUGGAAGUAUGGAAUGAAACUGUGAAAUCUAUGUUAUAAAAAAUUAAACUAUUAAAUUAAUUAUUAUAUAUUUUCAUAUAAAUAUAUGUAUUACUUAAUUUAUUUUUAAUAAUUAUUUUCAGUGUAUAUUCAAUAUAGAAUUAUACACUUUUUUAUAACAUUUUUUUUAUUUUAAUGUAAUAAUAAAAGUUAAUCUACC
rnacentral:lncRNA from 1 species